rnacentral:rRNA from 1 species
AUGAAAUUCUAUUAUACCAAAGGGACUCGGUAAAGGCGAAGGCAGCCCUCUAUGUAAAAACUGACGUUGAAGGACGAAGGCACAGAGCACAAACAGGAUUAGAUACCCAAGUAGUCUUUGCAGUAAAUGAUGAAUGUCAUAGGUUAGAUUAAGCUUUAAUUAAUUAGUUUAUCAGUAAUGAACUAACUAUUAAACAAUAUUUAGUCUAUAAAUGAAAGUGUAAGCAUUCCACCUCAAGAGUAAUGUGGCAACGCAGGAACUGAAAUCACUAGACCGUUUCUGACACCAGUAGUGAAGUAUGUUGUUUAAUUCGAUGAUCCACGAAAAACCUUACCACAAUUUGAAUAUUUUACAGGAGUUGCACGGCUGUUUUCAGUUAAUGUUGUGAAACUGUGGUUUCCAUGAAAUUAACGCAAUCCCUGGCUUUAUUUUUUUUUUAUUACGAUAAAGCAUUUGAUCCAGGAUUUGGAAAGAAAAAGGGGACAAAGACAAGUCAUCAUGGCCUUGAUAUUGUGGGCUAUAGACGUGCCACAUAUUCCUACACAAAGAGAUGCAAAAAUGUGAAUUUAAGCUAAUCUCUAAAAAUAGGAUAUAAAUUUUAAGGAUUAUAGUCUGAAACUCGACKAUAUGAAUAAGUAAUUACUAGUAAUCGUGAAUCACCAUGUCACGGUGAAUUUACCUUGGAUUGGUACUAACCACUCGUCACAUGCUGAAAAGAGCAUGCGCAAUAAGUUUGCUUUCUUGAUGAGCAGUAAAAAUAAUAAGCAGGUUCUAUAUUCUAUUAUUAAG